UAAAGCAAUUUCUCAGAGCGCCGAGACUGUCAGAUCGCAUAUCGAAAAUCGAUUUUUCUUUCUCGGCUACGCUCUGGUUAUAAAUUACAAAACGAACGACAUGUCGUCCCUCGUCAAAAUCGCCGACGCUUAAUAAAUUGUGUGGCCAUUUUUUGCACUCCGCGUGGAAGUCAUUAUGGCCGUCACGCCCUAAUCCCAGAGCGUUGUAAUAAUAAUUCAAAUACGGCGGCACAUUAGUUCCGCCGUUUUGAGCAGCCAGUGUACAAUAAACGAUGGACCAACAGGUUGUGACAAGUGGAUUUGGCCGAGACCGGAGGCAUGUACAAUUUGUGGACACUUCAUAACUGACGGGGAAAGUUAUUAAAUGGGUGUUCCAAUCGAAAUGUUCUCUUUCAGCCCUUCUUGGUUUCAACUAUAACAUCAUAUUACAUCCAUUAAUGUAUCUAUGUAAUGGGUUUCAGGUCAUAUUUUCUUUGAAGUGCACGGAAAUGAUUAAUAGUCCAUUGUAGGAAGGGAAAGGAGGCCUACUUACAAUCGGAAGACAUGCGCCCAUAAAACGUUUUCUGCAAAAUGUUCAUCAAGUGGCCAUACAAUAAAUAAUAGAACAGUCAGAAACAUUUGAUGGAGAGCCAUAAAAAUGCAGCUCACCCCAAAGGAAGAAAAGAAGUCCAAGUUCAUUCAAAUUGUACCAUGUACACAUGAGGAGCAGACAAAAGACAUAAAGUAAAUGAAGCGCCUCACAAAACGCAGACUUCGGAUGAGUAGUGGCAACUCCCAUACGAUGUGACGGGUAUUUUCAUUCUAUUUCCAUUUGCACAUCCUAGUAACUCAGUUGCCAUUCAACGGCAAAGGCAGGGCCAAGUCGAAAUCGAAAUCAAUUGUAACACACAAUGAAAACAGUUUUCCUACACAAUAAAUGCUUACCGCAUACA